CUUGGUGGGUUUAUUACAGAGAGAGAGAGAGAGAGAGAGAGAGAGAGAGAGAGAGAGCAGAGCAAGCAAGGUGAACGAUUCACAAAGGGUUUUAUUGCACGAGGGUUUUAACCUCCCUUUGGCUGGCAUUCUCAUGACAGGGUCUUGGACCUCCUUUCUUAGAAGAAGGCGGAAUAUUUAGUAACACAGGCGACGAAUCUCAAUGCAAGGAAGAAUUGGGAUCUCUUUUCAAGCCCAGCUGCAGAGCAGAACACCCGGAUGCCUAGAAGCAGCACUCCUCCAGCACGCAGCAGCAGCAAAUGGCCGCCAGGCUAAUAAGAAAACGUAACAAAGUCAAUUAGUGCCAGAGAGAGAGAGAGAGAGAGAGAGAUAUGACACUUCCGAACAACACUUAAUCCGCAAAAGAUAGGGGAGUAGGAAUGAUGCAGGUUCCCAAUCAUUGGUGCCAGCGUUGACUUUCUUGAGUCACAUGCCGAAGGCUUUUAUAGUCGGUCAACGCGGCGGAAAAUAAGCAGCAAGCUGACCAAAGCCGCCGGCAAGACAUUCAUGCCGAUAGCUACUUGAGCCACGCCAAAUUCCAUUUCUACAGUAUAGGCGAAGAAACUCGGUGGUUCAUCCCCACUCGUUGACUUUGCCUUGGGCAGAAGGUCAACGGCCCAAAACCUUCAUACAUCAGAUUACCAAAAAUGGUCGAGAUUUAUUUUCAGGUAAAAUAUUCAGAUGUCCAACCUCAAUUCACCACUCCAUCUCCUGAAUCCAGAAAAGCCCUCAGCUGCAGCUGUCAGAGGAGGACCCUUCAAACAGUUCCCUGCAGGCUAUAAAACCCAGCAGGGGUCCUUACAGAAGAUGAUUUCUAGGAGCGCGUCCCUUUGUCGUUGACCAUUUCCAUUCCAGGGAAGGAUUACUGCAACAUUCGAUUACCUAUCCCCACGAGCAAGCUGAGUCAGUAAAGUCAACGGGUCCUAUUUUUCCCAUUUCUUCAGCCACAGGACGGCAUGUGAGAUUGUCACCUGCCCUGGUUUUGAUCCCCAUUUCCACACUUUUUGGAGAACUCCACAGUCAACGCUCCAUGAGAUUGCACAGGAAAGAUCAUAUGGCCUCCGGCAAAUCUUAUAAAAAACACGUUGAAAACAAGGUCGGAUGACUUGAUGAUCCGUCACUAACUCGGAUAUAACUGGGUCAACUGAAACUCAGGACAAAGCAUUUCUUCACCAUGAUCUGAUGGAAAAAAUUUCCCUGAAAAGCAAUAGAUCCUCCCUGAAUCCUUUGACUUAUUGACAUGGAUAAUCACCGCCAGAGAGAUCAUCAUCACUCAGUAACCUAACAGUUUUGGUCAGGAUCACAUGAAUCCUGGAGAAGUCAAACUAAUAGACAAGAUCGCAUAUGUUCAAACGAUCCCAUCAGCUGCAUGAGACGCCCGGGCAAGGGGCACCCGGUCGAUUACUACUGAUGGAAUUAUAUCAACUGAUCUUCAAGGAAAAAUAUCUAACCAGGCGGAGAAGUCAACGAAUAAAGUUGGAGAUUCAAACAAAGAUUCCCAAGGAAAUGAGACAGGCAGAGAAAGUUUAUAAGAAUAAAAUAGAACAUCGAAAUGGGAAAUUGGUUCGUACCAUCCUUGUAGAAACGAGAAGCAGGAGGCGUCAUCCUGAUCAUGGUGGUGGUGAUGAUGGUGGUGAUAUGGCAGCGGCGGCGGCGGCGGCGGGGGGGGGCCAUCGUUGAAGUAACCCUGGUAGCCAGGAGGGGGAGGAUAAGGCGGCGGGAAUCCCGGCGGCGGGAAUCCCGGCGGCGGCGGCGGCGGAGGAGGAUAGGGAGGCCCGUACCCCGGCGGCGGAUGAGGGUAAUGAUGCGAAUGCCCUGCACAUAGCCCAUCCAGCCACAGAUUCACAGAUCAAAACGCAGAGAUCAAACCCCCUGCAUCGAUCACACCGACGCGAACGCAAACCAGACGGCAUAAACCGGAUGAUUUCGAUUUCAGAGGCGAAUCCCGUGACGAAUCACCGCCAAAAUCCAAAAAAAACUAGCAAGAUAGAUGGACAGAUGCUCGAGCACGAACGGGUCAGGUCUAGCGAUCUUGCCUGGCGGAGGGUGGGGUCCGUGGGGAACCUGCUGAUAGCUCAUAGCUCGAUCCCUUUCGCUCGAGGCGGCUCGCAAUUCGCCGGCGGGGAGGGAGGAAGGGGAAGAAUGGCACCGCCUGCUGCCGUCACCGUCUUCUUCCUCUUCUUCUCCUCCCCUUCUAUUUAGUAG
rnacentral:lncRNA from 1 species